GGAAAUCUCACCAGGCCCGGACACUGGAAGGAUUGACAGAUUGAUAGCUCUUUCUUGAUUCAGUGGGUGGUGGUGCAUCGCCGUUCUUAGUUGGUGGAGUGAUUUGUCUGGUUAAUUCCGUUAACGAACGAGACCUUAACCUGCUAAAUAGUGACGCGGUUCAUCGAACCGUGGGCCACUUCUUAGAGGGACUAUCGGAUUCAAACCGAUGGAAGUGUGAGGCAAUAA
rnacentral:rRNA from 1 species